CCGGGGCAGAGCCGCGAACGGGUGAGCAACACGUGGGUAACCCACCCCGAUGACCGGGACAACCCGAGGAAACUCGGGCUAAUACCGGAUGUGAUCCAUCCUCGUAAGGGGAUGCAUCAAAGGUAGCUUAGGCCUCCGCAUCGGGACGGGCCCGCGGCCCAUUAGCUUGUUGGUGAGGUAACGGCUUACCAAGGCGACGAUGGGUAGCUGGUCUGAGAGGACGAUCAGCCACACUGGGACUGAGACACGGCCCAGACUCCUACGGGAGGCAGCAGUGGGGAAUCUUGCGCAAUGCGCGAAAGCGUGACACAGCAACGCCGCGUGGGGGAAGAAGGCCUUCGGGUUGUAAACCCCUUUCAGUUGGGACGAAGCUUCGCCGGUGAAUAGCCGGCUGGAGUGACGGUACCUUCAUAAGAAGCCCCGGCUAACUACGUGCCAGCAGCCGCGGUAAUACGUAGGGGGCAAGCGUUGUCCGGAAUCAUUGGGCGUAAAGCGCGUGUAGGCGGUUCGGUAAGUCUGCUGUGAAAGUCGGGGGCUCAACCCUCGAAUGCCGGUGGAUACUGUCGGACUAGAGUGCGGAAGAGGCGAGUGGAAUUCCUGGUGUAGCGGUGAAAUGCGCAGAUAUCAGGAGGAACACCAAUUGCGAAGGCAGCUC
rnacentral:rRNA from 1 species